UUUAAAGGCUGGAUGCCACAAGGGAAGUGUCUCAACUUAGAGAUGACCUCCUUUGGAGUGUUUGCUAAGCCCUGAUCCUUAAAAAGGGACUCUAUUGUAAUACUAGAAGCAUCCCCAGACCAUUUUGCUGACUUCUGAACUCAUGGUGGAAAGAGAGGAAGAAGUCUAGAGUCCUCCAAGUUGUAGUGGUAUCUGUGUCAGUAUAAGGAAGAAAAAAAUGCGAAACUGGAAUCCAAACAAAUGGACAAUCUAUUGGUUCAUAACUAGAUUGAGAACUACUGAGGGAUCAAAUGAACCAAACUGGAUGGAGGGAUUAUUGCUGACGUGAAAGCUUAUGGGAAGUGGUGCUGAUGGAUUUUCUCAAGAUUAAAUCAGACAGCUAAUAAUGUAGUCCUUUGCAACCAGGCUAACUUGCAGAUUCCUUCUUUCUGAAAUUGCUCUGAAUAAAGAGAAAAGCUAAAAGGCAAUUCUGAUUUGCUAACAUUUUGCAUGGCUCCAGUGAAAUCAUAUCAUCUGAAUUUUUUUUGUUGUAUGUAGUAGAGAUUAUGACGUGCAGAUGUGUGAAAUACUAUGCAUGUGAACUGUUCAGUUUCGUGGAAUUUUUUAAAUGUAGUUCAGCAGUUUUAGUGCUGUGGAUACUCUGAUGUUUUACAAGACAUAGAUUGAGGUGGAAAGGAGAGGAUCAUAAUGGAGGAUAACAUUGUGGGUCAGUAAGAGUCCAUAAAAUUCAUCUUGGGAUUCUCCUGAUCAUUUUGCUUGGAGAUACACUUUGUACUUGACUUGGUGCUGUGUUCUAAGGAAUGUGAAUCGAAGCUACAACUACAGAUCAUGGAACUGCUUGCAGAAUGGCAGACUAGAACUGGUGUUAAAAACACCCUUUAACUUUUUUCUGUGUUUUCCUAGGUAGACCUGCCCACAUUCCCAGGUAAUUUGCUGAGUUGUAAGAAGAAAAGCAAAAAUAGGUGCCUACACAUAACUAGUCAACAUUUUUCCUUAGAAAGGAAUUUAAGUAUGCCACUAUAAGCUAAAGGAAUUUGGUACUUCUUUUAGAAGAAACCCUAGACAAUAUGAUAAAACUAUCCUUUGCUACCUAAUAUGAUGUCCAGUGCUUUAGUGCAGUAAAAAAUAUGUUGUUGAGAAUUCUUCAUUAAGGAAACCGACUGAGAAAACAGAUUUUAUCUGAAGACUAGAAUGCACACAUGUCCAAUGUAUAUUAUUCUGAAUAUGGGUGUCAAUUUAAAGUAGGGUUGAUUGAAGGGUCUCUUCCCAUACUAUAUUCAGUCUCAAGCCUGCGCUUCAGUGACUGACUUCCAAAAUGCUUGCUUAUUGUCUUUUCUUUAAGAUGUAGUUACAGGUGGCUGCCUUAGUGUGAAAUUCAUGUUGACUAUUUCUUUGUCUGUGAUAUUUUCUCCUCAUGGUAGCUACUGGAGUCUCCACAGCAUGUCUCAGUGUCCUUUAAUUCAUUUGCAGAAAGGAUGUAAUGCUAUCAGGGCAGCACCUUGAUUGAAAUUAGACUCUGUGACUAAAUGAUGUUUCUAUUGAAUUCAUACUAACAUUGUCUGCAAGAUUUAUUUUUCUGGCCUGCAGAAGAGUUGGCCUUUGUAUGCCAUCUGAUUUUCCAUUCAGACUGCAGUAUAGUGCCAGAAGCUUUCCUAUUUCUGUUAAUAUCAAAUGUGCAUAAUACCCAUUUUUGGUCUUCAACUC